UAUUGCUCUACUUGAACAAUAUCUGAUAUCCUGAUAAAUAUAUGAGAUAAUAAAUGUCCUGGGAGAAGCACCUACACCUUUAAACCAGUUUGGGUUUUCACCAUCAACAACUAGUUCUGGCAAGUAUGCUCCAGCAUAUCUACCAUCAAUCAAAACUUGUAACUACCGGUAAUAUUCAGUAUCAUGCUGUGACCUUAUUCAUCUUAUUCAUCAACCAAACUGUCUAAACUGGCUGUAAAGAAAUUAUGAAUUGAUAAUGGUAUAUAUAAAGAAUUAAUUAUGAUUUAACAUCACAAUAAAAAAACAUGUCAGAUAACAUUCCACAAUAAACAUAGAAAAAUUGAUAUACAAUCACUCAUAGGUCAGUGAGUUUAGUUUUACGCCGCACUCAGCAAUAUUCCAGCUAUAUGAUGGCGGCGACGGUCUGAAAAUAAACAAGUCUGCACCAGACAAUCUAGUGAUCAACAGCAUAAGCAUCAAUC